rnacentral:tRNA from 1 species
GGUAGCUUGGCCGAGCGGUCUAAGGCGCUGGAUUAAGGCUCCGGUCUCUUCAGGGGUGUGGAUUUAAAUCCCACUGCUGUCA